UUUUGCAGUAUUGCCAGGUGCAUCUUGUGCCACCACGCAAACGUCACCGGUCCAUACGAUUCCAAACUGAACAGCUUGACAUGUUCUGGCGCCGUAAGACGCUUCGCCUGUGAGUACCGCAAAACGCCUCGUAACUACAGAAGUGUUGGUUGGUAACAGGUGUGGAAACACGUUUGCAUCAGAAGAAGGCGGCUCAACGGGAUAAAAAGUUCCAGGAUUGCGUGGUUCCUCGCUAGCUUCUGUUCAUGCCCAGCGCCGGCAUUUGGAGAAAAUGGACCCAGGAUGAUGGGAGCUGUAGUUCACCCACAUCCAGAGAGCACUGUGAACCCCACCAGAGAUGGAUCUGGACCAAACUUGCCACACAAACUCGACAUGGCCAGCUUUGAAUACUGGUGAGAUUUGGAGGAAAUUGACCUUGAUUUUGGGAGUUAUAGUUCACUCACUUCCAGAGAGCAUUGUGAACCCACCGGAGAUGAAUCUGGACUGAACUUGGUGCACAAACCCGACAUGGCCAGCUUUGAAUACUGGUGAGAUUUGGAGGUAAUUGAUCUUAAUGCUUGGGAGUUAUAGUUCGUUCUUGAUCUGAAUGUAAGUUGGAACAGGGACAUUAAGAUGCAACUGGCCAUUGGGUUUACAGUGCAAUAAACUUUUUUAAUUUC